rnacentral:rRNA from 1 species
UACGUAGGGUGCAAGCGUUAAUCGGAAUUACUGGGCGUAAAGCGUGCGCAGGCGGUUUUGUAAGUCUGUCGUGAAAUCCCCGGGCUCAACCUGGGAAUUGCGAUGGAGACUGCAAGGCUAGAAUCUGGCAGAGGGGGGUAGAAUUCCACGUGUAGCAGUGAAAUGCGUAGAGAUGUGGAGGAACACCGAUGGCGAAGGCAGCCCCCUGGGUCAAGAUUGACGCUCAUGCCACGAAAGCGUGGGGAGCA